GUCUGUGUAGAUUAAAAAGAUCAUAGUGCUGUUAACCCUAUGGUGGUGGGUAAACCGCCUACAGUCG
rnacentral:tRNA from 1 species